GGGGGUGUAGCUCGGUGGUAGAGCACUUACUUUGCAUGCAGGAGGCCCUGGGUUUGAUCUCCAGCACCACAG
rnacentral:tRNA from 1 species